GCAUCGGAAGAAAAGUGAAAGGCGCUUUUGCGUCACUGAUGGAUGGACCCGCGGUGCAUUAGCUAGUUGGUGAGGUAACGGCUCACCAAGGCAACGAUGCAUAGCCGACCUGAGAGGGUGAUCGGCCACACUGGGACUGAGACACGGCCCAGACUCCUACGGGAGGCAGCAGUAGGGAAUCUUCGGCAAUGGACGAAAGUCUGACCGAGCAACGCCGCGUGAGUGAAGAAGGUUUUCGGAUCGUAAAACUCUGUUGUUAGAGAAGAACAAGGAUGAGAGUAAAAUGUUCAUCCCUUGACGGUAUCUAACCAGAAAGCCACGGCUAACUACGUGCCAGCAGCCGCGGUAAUACGUAGGUGGCAAGCGUUGUCCGGAUUUAUUGGGCGUAAAGCGAGCGCAGGCGGUUUCUUAAGUCUGAUGUGAAAGCCCCCGGCUCACCGGGGAGGGUCAUUGGAAACUGG
rnacentral:rRNA from 1 species